GUGCCAGCCGCCGCGGUAAUACGUAGGGCGCAAGCGUUGUCCGGAAUUAUUGGGCGUAAAGAGCUCGUAGGCGGUCUGUCGCGUCUGGUGUGAAAACCCAUGGCUCAACCAUGGGCUUGCAUCGGGUACGGGCAGACUAGAGUGCGGUAGGGGAGACUGGAAUUCCUGGUGUAGCGGUGGAAUGCGCAGAUAUCAGGAGGAACACCGAUGGCGAAGGCAGGUCUCUGGGCCGCAACUGACGCUGAGAGCGAAAGCAUGGGAGCGAACAGGAUUAGAUACCCUGGUAGUCCAUGCCGUAGACGUUGGGCACGUAGGUGUAGGGGCUCGA
rnacentral:rRNA from 1 species